CGACCGUCGAACACGUGACAGAAUGCUGCCGCGGAGGCGCUUGCCGCCCCCUCGGCCCCGCCGGCCUCCUCCCUCUCGCCCUUCCGGGCGCGUUGGUUGCUGGCCGGAAUACGGCGCGGGAUGACGCCAAGGAACACGGUAAAGCUGAGGCGCCGGCGAGCCGCUCGAGGUCUCCGUCGGUUGCCAAGGCCAACAGAAAAAAAAAAUAUGACUCUCGGCAACGGAUAUCUCGGCUCUCGCAUCGAUGAAGAACGUAGCGAAAUGCGAUACGUGGUGUGAAUUGCAGAAUCCCGUGAACCAUCGAGUCUUUGAACGCAAGUUGCGCCCGAGGGACCCUCCCGAGGGCACGCCUGCCUCAUGGGCGUUAGAAGCCCAUCCACGCUCGGUUGCCUAACUAACGGCAGAGAUGCGGACAUUGGCCCUCCGAACCGCGAGGCGCGGUGRGCCUAAGUGUGCGGCCGUCGUACGUGGCCGGGAGCGGCGAGUGGUGGGCUACUGCGCACGUUGCCCCGAGCCCCGUACCGACGCAGGGCCUUGUACGACCCCCUAACGAGGAGCAAGCCGCUGCGGCUCCGGCUGCRCGGCGCCUUCGGACCGAUACCCCAGGUCAGG
rnacentral:sRNA from 1 species